rnacentral:rRNA from 1 species
UACGUAGGGUGCAAGCGUUAAUCGGAAUUACUGGGCGUAAAGCGUGCGUAGACGGUUAUUUAAGUCGGAUGUGAAAGCCCCGGGCUCAACCUGGGAAUUGCAUUCGAGACUGAAUAGCUAGGGUGCGGUAGAGGGAAGCGGAAUUUCCGGUGUAGCGGUGAAAUGCGUAGAUAUCGGAAGGAACAUCAGUGGCGAAAGCGGCUUCCUGGACCAGCACCGACGUUCAGGCACGAAAGCGUGGGGAGCAAACAGG